GGGGAGCAGCCCAGAGCCUGAAUCAGUGUGUGUGUUAGUGGAAGCGUCUGGAAAGGCGCGCGAUACAGGGUGACAGCCCCGUACACAAAAAUGCACAUGCUGUGAGCUCGAUGAGUAGGGCGGGACACGUGGUAUCCUGUCUGAAUAUGGGGGGACCAUCCUCCAAGGCUAAAUACUCCUGACUGACCGAUAGUGAACCAGUACCGUGAGGGAAAGGCGAAAAGAACCCCGGCGAGGGGAGUGAAAAAGAACCUGAAACCGUGUACGUACAAGCAGUGGGAGCACGCUUAGGCGUGUGACUGCGUACCUUUUGUAUAAUGGGUCAGCGACUUAUAUUCUGUAGCAAGGUUAACCGAAUAGGGGAGCCGAAGGGAAACCGAGUCUUAACUGGGCGUUAAGUUGCAGGGUAUAGACCCGAAACCCGGUGAUCUAGCCAUGGGCAGGUUGAAGGUUGGGUAACACUAACUGGAGGACCGAACCGACUAAUGUUGAAAAAUUAGCGGAUGACUUGUGGCUGGGGGUGAAAGGCCAAUCAAACCGGGAGAUAGCUGGUUCUCCCCGAAAGCUAUUUAGGUAGCGCCUCGUGAAUUCAUCUCCGGGGGUAGAGCACUGUUUCGGCAAGGGGGUCAUCCCGA
rnacentral:rRNA from 1 species